rnacentral:rRNA from 1 species
AGGGUUUGAUUCUGGCUCAGGACGAACGCUGGCGGCGUGCCUAACACAUGCAAGCCGAACGAAGCUCGAUGCUUUGAGAUUUCGGUCAAGAAGCAAAGAUGACUUAGUGGCGAACGGGUGAGUAAUGCGUGAGCAACCUGCCUUUCAGAGGGGGACAACAGUUGGAAACGACUGCUAAUACCGCAUAAAACACUUGGGUGGCAUCACCUGAGUGUCAAAGGAGCAAUCCGCUGAGAGAUGGGCUCACGUCUGAUUAGCUAGUUGGUGAGGUAACGGCUCACCAAGGCUGCGAUCAGUAGCCGGUCUGAGAGGAUGAACGGCCACAUUGGGACUGAGAUACGGCCCAA